UGGGGAAUUUUGGACAAUGGGCGAAAGCCUGAUCCAGCAAUGCCGCGUGUGUGAAGAAGGCCUUCGGGUUGUAAAGCACUUUUGUCCGGAAAGAAAUCCUUGGCUCUAAUACAGUCGGGGGAUGACGGUACCGGAAGAAUAAGCACCGGCUAACUACGUGCCAGCAGCCGCGGUAAUACGUAGGGUGCAAGCGUUAAUCGGAAUUACUGGGCGUAAAGCGUGCGCAGGCGGUUUGCUAAGACCGAUGUGAAAUCCCCGGGCUCAACCUGGGAACUGCAUUGGUGACUGGCAGGCUAGAGUAUGGCAGAGGGGGGUAGAAUUCCACGUGUAGCAGUGAAAUGCGUAGAGAUGUGGAGGAAUACCGAUGGCGAAGGCAGCCCCCUGGGCCAAUAACUGACGCUCAUGCACGAAAGCGUGGGGAGCAAACAGGAUUAGAUACCCUGGUAGUCCACGCCCUAAAACGAUGUCAACUAGUUGUUGGGGAUUCAUUUCCUUAGUAACGUAGCUAACGUG
rnacentral:rRNA from 1 species